rnacentral:rRNA from 1 species
GGAAACUGGGAUUAAUACCGCAUACGCCCUUCGGGGGAAAGAUUUAUCGCCAUUAGAUGGGCCCGCGUUUGAUUAGCUAGUUGGUGGGGUAAUGGCCUACCAAGGCGACGAUCAAUAGCUGGUCUGAGAGGAUGAUCAGCCACACUGGGACUGAGACACGGCCCAGACUCCUACGGGAGGCAGCAGUGGGGAAUAUUGGACAAUGGGCGAAAGCCUGAUCCAGCCAUGCCGCGUGAGUGAUGAAGGCCUUAGGGUUGUAAAGCUCUUUUAGCAGGGAAGAUAAUGACGGUACCUGCAGAAAAAGCCCCGGCUAACUUCGUGCCAGCAGCCGCGGUAAUACGAAGGGGGCUAGCGUUGUUCGGAUUUACUGGGCGUAAAGCGCACGUAGGCGGAUUGUUUAGUCAGAGGUGAAAUCCCAGGGCUCAACCCUGGAACUGCCUUUGAUACUGGCAAUCUUGAGUCCGAGAGAGGUGAGUGGAAUUCCUAGUGUAGAGGUGGAAUUCGUAGAUAUUAGGAAGAACACCAGUGGCGAAGGCGGCUCACUGGCUCGGUACUGACGCUGAGGUGCGAAAGCGUGGGGGAGCAAACAGGAUUAGAUACCCUGGUAGUCCACGCCGUAAA